GACGAACGCUGGCGGCGUGCUUAACACAUGCAAGUCGAGCGGUAAGGCCCUUUCGGGGGUACACGAGCGGCGAACGGGUGAGUAACACGUGGGUGACCUGCCCUUAGCUCUGGGAUAAGCCUGGGAAACUGGGUCUAAUACCGGAUAUGACUCCAUGACGCAUGUUGUGGGGUGGAAAGCCUUGUGCGGCUAGGGGAUGGGCCCGCGGCCUAUCAGCUUGUUGGUGGGGUGANGGCCUACCAAGGCGACGAC
rnacentral:rRNA from 1 species